rnacentral:rRNA from 1 species
AAUGACUUUACCUGUAGAAUAAGCACCGGCUAACUUCGUGCCAGCAGCCGCGGUAAUACGAAGGGUGCUAGCGUUACUCGGAAUUACUGGGCGUAAAGAAUGCGUAGGCGGACUUGUAAGUUAGAAGUGAAAUCCCUGGGCUCAACCUAGGAACUGCUUUUAAAACUGCUUGUCUUGAAUGUUGGAAUGAUUAGGGGAAUUCCUGGUGUAGGGGUAAUAUCCGUAGAUAUCAGGAGGAAGACCGGAAGCGAAAGCGCUUAAUUAGCCAAAUAUUGACGCUGAUGCAUGAAAGCGUGGGGAGCAAACAGGAUUAGAUACCCUGGUAGUCCACGCUGUAAACUAUGAAUACUAUUUGUGGAGGGCUAUAUGCCCCCUGCAAAAAAAGCUAACGCGUUAAGUA